UUACAUUUGCCCCGAAUUGGUGUCCCGAUUAAAAUCGGGGUUAAAAGGGAAUCCGGUCAAAAUCCGGAGCUGUCCCCGCAACUGUAAGUUCAUUUAGUUGCUUUCUACAAUCCACUGUGCGUUGCGGCGUAUGGGAAGGAAAAAAGCAGAACAAGCCAGGAGACCUGCCAGUUCCAUAAUUAAAUA
rnacentral:ncRNA from 1 species